UUCACUUGCUGUCAACCACUGCUGAAUGCCGCCAUCACAGAUCCCCCGUUGACUUCCACCCCUCUGGAUCUGGCAGGGUGUCCGCUGCACUUCUGAUCCAGCAAGGCGCCCAUUGCUGCUCCCGAUUGGGCUAGAGGCUCGCCAUUGUUCCAGCGCAGCUAAGUGCCCGGGUUUGUCCUAAUCGAGCUGAACACUAGUCGCUGGGUUCCACGGUUCUCUUUGGUCACCCACUGCUUCUAAUAGAGCUGUAACACUCACCACACAGCCCAAGGAUCCAUUCCUUGGAAUCCGUGAGGCCAAGAACCCAAGGACAUUUAGGUGUUUCUACCACUUGGCAUUUCUGAGUAAUGCUGCUAUGAAUGUAGGAGUGCAAAUAUUUCUUUGAGAGCCUGAUUUCAAUUAUUUUGGAUAAAUACCCAGAAAUGGAAUUGCUGGAUCACAUGGUAAUUAUAUUUUUAAUUUUUUGAGAAACCUCCAUACUGUUUUCCAUAGUAG
rnacentral:lncRNA from 10 species